GUAGGAACUUUACAUGAGUUGAGCCUAAAACCAUAGGCUAAAGUUCGAAACAACUAAAGAAAAUUCAUCCCACAACCAAUUCCAAACUUAGAACUCAAAAAAGGCCCAACAACCCAGAACCCAUUAUAGCCCAACCCCAUAUUCUAAUCCUAGCUAUUACAGUGAUAAACAAGCGAAGGGCAGCCACCGACAAGGGAAGCACCGUCGUCAAGCAUAUUGGGGAAUUUGGAGACUUUCGAAGACCAAAAAAUGCAAGAGGCUAUGCAAGACGCCAAUAUCUCAAAGACCAUCCUUAGAAACAGUGAGUUGA
rnacentral:misc_RNA from 1 species